rnacentral:rRNA from 1 species
UACCGCAUACGCCCUGAGGGGGAAAGUAGGGGAUCUUCGGACCUUACGUUAUAAGAGCGGCCGAUAUCUGAUUAGCUAGUUGGUGGGGUAAUGGCCUACCAAGGCGACGAUCAGUAGCUGGUCUGAGAGGACGACCAGCCACACUGGAACUGAGACACGGUCCAGACUCCUACGGGAGGCAGCAGUGGGGAAUUUUGGACAAUGGGGGCAACCCUGAUCCAGCAAUGCCGCGUGAGUGAAGAAGGCCUUCGGGUUGUAAAGCUCUUUUGUCAGGGAAGAAACGGUGAGGGCUAAUAUCCUUUGCUAAUGACGGUACCUGAAGAAUAAGCACCGGCUAACUACGUGCCAGCAGCCGCGGUAAUACGUAGGGUGCAAGCGUUAAUCGGAAUUACUGGGCGUAAAGCGUGCGCAGGCGGUUAUGUAAGUCAGAUGUGAAAUCCCCGGGCUCAACCUGGGAAUGGCAUUUGAGACUGCAUGGCUAGAGUGUGUCAGAGGGGGGUAGAAUUCCACGUGUAGCAGUGAAAUGCGUAGAGAUGUGGAGGAAUACCGAUGGCGAAGGCAGCCCCCUGGGAUAACACUGACGCUCAUGCACGAAAGCGUGGGGAGCAAACGGGAUUAGAUACCCUGGUUAGUCCCACGCCCUAAACGGAUGUCUACUUAGUUUUCGGGAUUAAAUUGUCUUGGUAACGCAGAUAACGCGUGAAGUAGACCGCCUGGGGAGUACGGUCGCAAGAUUAAAACUCAAAGGAAUUGACGGGGACCCGCACAAGCGGUGGAUGAUGUGGAUUAAUUCGAUGCAACGCGAAAAACCUUACCUACCCUUGACAUGUACGGAACCUCUGAGAGAUUAGAGGGUGCUCGAAAGAGAGCCGUAACACAGGUGCUGCAUGGCUGUCGUCAGCUCGUGUCGUGAGAUGUUGGGUUAAGUCCCGCAACGAGCGCAACCCUUGUCAUUAGUUGCUACGAAAGGGCACUCUAAUGAGACUGCCGGUGACAAACCGGAGGAAGGUGGGGAUGACGUCAAGUCCUCAUGGCCCUUAUGGGUAGGGCUUCACACGUCAUACAAUGGUACAUACAGAGGGCCGCCAACCCGCGAGGGGGAGCUAAUCCCAGAAAGUGUAUCGUAGUCCGGAUUGUAGUCUG